UACGAAGGGGGCUAGCGUUGCUCGGAAUCACUGGGCGUAAAGCGCACGUAGGCGGACUCUUAAGUCGGUGGUGAAAUCCUGGAGCUCAAUUCCAGAACUGCCUUUGAUACUGAGGAUCUUGAGUUCGGGAGAGGUGAGUGGAACUGCGAGUGUAGAGGUGAAAUUCGUAGAUAUUCGCAAGAACACCAGUGGCGAAGGCGGCUCACUGGCCCGAUACUGACGCUGAGGCACGAAAGCGUGGGGAGCAAACAGG
rnacentral:rRNA from 1 species